rnacentral:rRNA from 1 species
GACAGAGGUGCCGAGCGUUAGGCGGAAUCACUGGGCUUAAAGCGUGUGUAGGUGGAUGCCUAAGUACCUUGUGAAAUCCCACGGCUUAACCGUGGAACUGCUUGGUAUACUGGGUGUCUUGAGCCAGCUAGGGGCUACCGGAACAAAUGGUGGAGCGGUGAAAUGCGUAGAUAUCAUUUGGAACGCCAAUGGUGAAAACAGGUAGCUGGGGCUGUGCUGACACUGAGACACGAAAGCCAGGGGAGCGAACGGG